UGGUAAAAUAUCAAUCUAAUCUAAAGACAUUGAGCGUAUUAUUUGUUGACUUAAAGGUUUUCUAAUAUUAAGUUUGGGACAAGUGUUGGGACAUAUUACUAGCUUCAGUAUCUGGUGUUGAUUUACGCUAAGACCUCUUUUCUUUGACAGUGUUGUUGAACAUUUAAUGUGCUACCAGUUAGCCACGUUUGCCAGAUAACAAGAUUGUGAUGAGCCUGAUAUUGACAACUCAAUGGAGCUAGAAACCAAACAAGAGGAACUAAAAACCGCCUUCAAAUCUGGUCAACUUCAGGAGUGUGAUGUACAAAAGUUGAUGGCUGACACAUAUGCCCUCCAGCGCGCAGCUAUAAACAACGAGAGCUCUGCAAACAGGUUGUUGGAGGAAUGGCCCUUCCUCUUCAAGGCAGUCUUCCUUUUUAAUCACACAUGCACUCUUCUUGGCUUUCCAGUACAAAUCAAACUGGCAGAUGACUAUUUCAGGAGAGAAAAGACAAUUAGAGACUUCCUCAAUUCAAAGGGGAUGACGAAUGAAGGUGCUGACACUUUGGAGCUGAUCUCUGGAAUUGCAAAAUACUUUGGUGAAUGAUAAAAUGUUCCACCAUAAUGCGGACCCUGACACUCCUUCAGUCAGCAUUCCAAGCACUCCCUGCAUCCUUAUCGUGGGGGAACCACGUUUCAAAGUUGCCAUGGAUGGAGAGAUUGUGAAUGACCACAUCAACUCCCCCAUUGUGGCGCUGAGCUAUGCCUUUUGUUUGUUUUAUGUUUUCAACAUUAAAUAUUCAAAGGAGAUGUCUCUCAUGCUGGAAUUCAUUCAAAGAUGAGAAGAGCUUUAUUUAUGCUGUGAAAUAUUUUGGUCAGGUUUAAGUCUCUGGUUCCAGUGUUGAUGCCCCAGCAGUUGCUGCAAAGCAGAUUGAGCUCUCCACCAAAGACUGAUGGAAGAUGUGAAACAUCUCAGUGCAGACAUGAAAUGAUUCAGCUUCCAUCAGAAGUAGAGUCUCCUGUCUUUCCUUCUUGAUGCUUCUUUGUUACAUCUCCAGUCCAGUCUGUUGUUCAGCUGAACUCUAAGAUACUUGUAAUC